GCCAGCUAUGGUGGCGGGUGCCUGUAGCCCCAGCUACUCGGGGGGCUGAGGUGGGAGGAUCGCUGGAGCCCAGGAGUCCUGGACUGUACUGUGCUAUGCCGAUCAGGUGUCUGCACUAAGUUCGGCAUCAAUAUGGUGGCCUCCUGGGAGCGGGGGACCACUAGAUUGCCUAAGGAGGGGUGAACCGGUCCAGGUUGCAAAUGGAACAGGUCAAAACUCCCAUGCUGAUCAGUCGUGGGGUCGUGCCUGUGAAUAGCCACUGCCCUGCAGCCUGGGCAACAUGGCCAGACCCUGUCUCUA
ensembl:misc_RNA Metazoa_SRP Metazoan signal recognition particle RNA